AUUGAACGCUGGCGGCAGGCUUAACACAUGCAAGUCGAGCGAGCGGCGGACGGGUGAGUAAUGUCUGGGAAACUGCCUGAUGGAGGGGGAUAACUACUGGAAACGGUAGCUAAUACCGCAUACAAUCGGAGUGGCCCAAAGGGGAUUAGCUGGUAGGUGGGGGAAAGGCUCACCUAGGCGACGAUCCCUAGCUGGUCUGAGAGGAUGACCAGCCACACUGGAACUGAGACACGGUCCAGACUCCUACGGGAGGCAGCAGUGGGGAAUAUUGCACAAUGGGCGAAAGCCUGAUGCAGCCAUGCCGCGUGUAUGAAGAAGGCCUUCGGGUUGUAAAGUACUUUCAGCGGGGAGGCGUUACCCGCAGAAGAAGCACCGGCUAACUCCGUGCCAGCCGCCGCGGUAAUUC
rnacentral:rRNA from 1 species